rnacentral:lncRNA from 1 species
GCUUGGGAAGCAAUGAGCUGUAGGUCCUUGGGGUCAGGAGUGGAAAGGAACCAGUUCAAGGAAUCUUCAGGGUCAAAAGUGUAAGCCUUGAAGUUCCUGAGGAAGAUUGUAAGAAACACAAUGGAAAGAAAGGUUUUUCGCCAAGCCCUUUAUGUAAGCUGAAAUGAAUUCCAGGGUGUGGUAGACAAUAGCUGUGAUGUUUUAAGGUCACAUAGAGAGAGGCAAUGGCCUUAAAGUGAUGAAAAUGGGAGGUGCUUCAGAAGGCAAGGUCUCUUCACCCCACUUAUUAACAUGUGAACAUAAAAUGAAGUAAAAUUAAAAAAAAAAUGUCUGUCUUUUUGGUGUACACCAUACUUGCUCACACAGCUAGUUCAUUGAUCAAGAAAUAGUGUACAAAGAUAAGCCAGUUCUCACUGGAACCCCACUUAAUCAAUGGGAGGUGAGAUGUCUAUAGGAAAGGAUGAUGAAUGUUCAGAUUCUUUGUGGGAGAGCAGUGUUUGCAUUCAUGAGAAAACAUUUUUUUAAAAAAUGAUAAUGCUGUCUUAAAGAGAGAGGAGGUAGAACUCCUCUCUAUUUAUGGAACAGUGGAACAGAAUUGUGGAACAGAAUUAUGGAACAAUGGAACAGAAUUGUUAAAGGGAGAACAAUUCAAGUUCACAGAUGCAGAGAAAUAGACACAGAUGUAGACAUGAAAGCAUACUGCACAACGCCAAGCCCAACUCCACCAUGCCAGGGGACCAUGUUCCUUCAUGAGGCUGUCCCAAGCAAUAUGACAUUUUAUUGUCCUUCAUUGAAUAUUGUGCAUCAGCUGAAUUCCUUUUCAAAGGGUGCCUAGUAAAUACCAUAGAUAAUUCUUUCAUCCACCUUUUUCAGUUUAGAAAACCCUAUCUACUGCAAUAUUGUUGGACUGAACCAAUUGUUCCCAACUCUUUUUCCGAGACCAAUAAAUAUCUCUAAUCCCAAGUGUUACAGGCAAAUAAAAAUGUAAUUAUCUUAUUGAUGACAAGAAAGCUACAAACAUGAGCCCAAAAGGGUCAAGCUGCUUAUUUCAUACUAACAUGUAAUUUGUUCAUGUAGCCUUGUACCUUUCCAGGCUACACAGGAUCUAGAAAUCUUUUAACACAAAAAGCAACAAGGGAUUAUUACUUUAUACCAAUGUUUUCACAUUGUGUUAUUACUAUUGUCACCAACCAGAGAUUCUCAUUACUUUUUUCUCUUCAUAUUUGAAAGGUGAUUUUAAAUCUCUCUCUAAACUCUCCCCUAAGUCAUCAUCCUAAAGGAGUUAGCAGCCAUUUAUUCAUGCACCAAAAACAGCACAAAGGAAAUAGCAGUUAGUCAUCCUUUAGUAGUUCAUGCUAAAAGAAAAUGCAAGGAUUUAUAACUCAGAUUUCAAAUAUGUGAUCAGCAAUCGCAAAUUCAUAUAGACCUUUUCUAAUAAAUCAAGCUGUCAAUAUUUCCUAAGUGUCAGUUUUGUGCUGAAUACUAUACCAGCUAUGUUGGGAAGUACCUAGAAGUGUUUACAAUCAAAUGGGAGGCUCGCGUUAUAUAAUAUGCUUAAGAGAAGCAUAAAGUGAAAGACAGGUAAACCCUUAGGAUACAAGAACUAAUGAUAUGAACACAUGGUUCCCUCACCAACUAAUUGAAACAAAAGACCUAGCCAGAUCUAUCACUUAGAUCAAAUUUAUAGAUAACCUUCUGUGAACCUAAAUAUGUUACUCACCAUUAUCUCCAAGUUCCUCCACCCUUAUUCCUGAACUUACCUAUACAAAAGAAGCUAGAUUUCAUUUAUACUUUUGUGUCAUUGUAAUGAAAUCAAAAGUAUCACUAUAAAGCUUUCAGAUCAUAUAUGGUCUGGGUGGAAAUAUUUAAAACAAGCCUUAAAGCAACCAACAAUUUUUUUAAAGGAAGGCAGGAGAGGGGGUGCCUUGGGAGAAUGGGGGCUGUAACCAAUUCUGUGAGGCAGGUGAAGUCUUGUUAUAAUUAAGCUUGUAAAGUCCCAAUUCCACUUCAAUAAAACAGCAUGAGGCUCCAGCUGGUGGCCAGCUGCUCCACAGACCUUUUCCACACCAAAAAAAAUUUUUUUUUAAAUAGCCCCAUAGCAUAAGCCUUAUAGGUUUGUUUUAACCAAAUGUCACUUGUCUAGGUAAACUAAACAAUGCCAGAUAUUGAGUUAUCUGAAUAUUCAGAAAACUAAUGACUCCUCAAUCGGUGAGUAUACCUACAUUGUUUAUAAACAUCUUUCUCUAUUCAGAAUUAUCAAUAUAAAGAGGAACAUAUGGCAAAAUUUUAUAUAGCUCAUUUGCAGAAAACUUGGACAUAGUUCAAGGUAGAUACCCUUUAAGAGGCUUUUAUUCUUUUGGAUUACACAGUUCCUACCAAAGUAUGCCCAACCUCUCAAAGUUGCAUAUCAGGACUGAAAAACUGAACAAAAAAAAAAUUGCAAGAAGGCAUUACCAAAUUUAUGAAUGGAAAAAUCUCA